rnacentral:lncRNA from 1 species
CACAGCCAAAGGACAGCAAGCUCCAUCGUGAUGGUGAUGAAAAAGUCUGAGGAUCUUACUUCAUCUUCCCCGUGACUCGUUGAGAGUACUUCAUGAUAUGCGUUCCCCCUUGAAGGUUAUUGAAGCUGCGCGACUUCAAAGCAUUUGACAGACAAAUUCUACAUUGCAUGAUAAACACACUCCUCUCUUGGAUAAAAACAUUCGGUGAAGCCGUACGCGCAGAGUAUUUUUCUUUGGGGCAUUUCUGCUUUAUUUCCCCCCCCCCCCCCCCCCCCCCCCUUUCCUCUCAUUGCCAAGUAUGGAGGCCCAGCAAAUCAAACACAUUCAAGCGUCAUUAUUAGAGAGUGGGCCCUGGAGUUUGGCCCGGCGACGAGCUCUGCUCUCUAAUGAAGGUGAGCCUUUCAUGCAAAUGAAAGUGGAGCUCAUCUGGAAGGUGCUGUCUCAGGAAUCAUCUCAUCAUGAAUGCCACCUGAUCAGAAGUAAUGAGGAGCCUUGAAGAGGUGUCCAUUGACAGUGGAUUAAGUUAUGGUGUCAAGUCAAACUCCAGUCUUCUGGCCUCCCUUGGCUCUACCUGGCUGUUGAGGUCCGGAGUCCCUGUCUGGUCCCGAACAGGCCCCAGCUGCCUCGGAUGUGAGCCUGCCCUCACCGCAGCCUCCAUCCUCUGCCAAAAACAAGCACAUAUAUUCCCUUAAUCUCCUGCAG